GGUACCAGGCGGCUGCGAGGCGUGCCAGCGCGCCAUCUGCUAACCCUCGCCCAUACCCUCCAGUCUUCCAGCCUGUCACGGAGGACUGGAGGUCACCCUCCAGUGGUGCCUGCCCACCAAAGAGUCCUUGCUGCCCAGACACUCAUCAGAAGGCAGUAAUAUCACCAAGAUGGCCCUCUCCCUGGUCAUCCCUGCUCCCUCCUCCCGCCGCCUCUCCGCUGCAGGGCGUUUCAUCUCCCGAGGCUGCCGCUCCCCCUGGGACACCACGCCUUCCGCGCCGCCCGGCACCCCGAGGAGGCGGCACCGGUCGGACUCCCCCCGCAGCCAUGGACAAGACAGGUGAAGACACACGUCCCGGGCCCAAGACGGGACCCGCCGCCGCCCGUGACGGUCCUUCCCCGGCUGCCCGCGGUGGAGAGGAAGAACUAGAGGAGGAGGCCUUGCCGCGGCACCCUCAGCCCCAGCAGGCCAGCACUGCCCUCCAAGCAACCCCUGGACUGCUGGAGCUACAGAGGCCGUGGUCCCAUGGCCUGACCAGCCGCCUAAAACACUGAAGAAGAAGAACCCAAGAACACUUCCUCCUGCAGUGGCGGACAUCCUCCCCUGUAGGUCCUGCCGCCACCCACCACCAAGGAAAGGACAGAUGAAUGCAACAGCAGACAUGAGGAGGACCACAGGUCUCACUGAACAUGGAGAUGAGGAACAAAAUGCCACCACUUCUUCCACCGUGGCCAGCAGCAUCGCCCUGGAGGCACUGCCAAUACUAUCACCAGGGUAACCCCCACCAUCACCUGCUCAGAUGGCAUGACUGAAAUAGUGGUAAAGAGAGACUGUACAGCCAUCACUCCACAACCAUGUAAGAGGGUGUCGCAACCCUCCAAAACGUUGUGCCCUCUCGGGAAGCAUCAUUCCAGAACGCCAGCUGCACUUCCCUUGGAGAUUUCCCCAGCACACAGUGGCAAGAUACCCCCUUGGCUGUCUGCCAGGCUACAGGGACUCUUCUUGAAAAGAAAAUUGGUGAUGUUAAAAGUUUCAAGUAAACUGUGAACCCUACUUACCAUGUCUGGAAGAUAAUAAAAAUUAAGGGACUACA